rnacentral:tRNA from 1 species
GAGGAUAUAGCUCAGUGGUGGAGCACAUGCUUAGCAUGCACAAGGUCCUGGGUUCAAUCUCUAGUACCUCCA